rnacentral:rRNA from 1 species
GUCCUGGCUCGAGGACGACGCUGGCGGCGUGCCUAACACAUGCAAGUCGAACGAGAAAUAAUGAUAUGGAACCUUCGGGGGAUUGGAUUUAUGGACAGUGGCGGACGGGCGAGUAACGCGUGAGUAACCUGCCCAUAANCGGGGGAUAGCCGAUGGAAACGUCGAGUAAUACCGCAUGACAUAAUUAAGUCGCAUGGCUUGAUUAUCAAAGAUUUAUCGUUUAUGGAUGGACUCGCGUCUGAUUAGAUAGUUGGUGAGGUAACGGCUCACCAAGUCGACGAUCAGUAGCCGAACUGAGAGGUUGAUCGGCCGCAUUGGGACUGAGACACGGCCCAGACUCCUACGGGAGGCAGCAGUGGGGGAUAUUGCGCAAUGGGGGGAACCCUGACGCAGCAACGCCGCGUGCAGGAAGAAGGUCUUCGGAUUGUAAACUGUUGUCGCAAGGGAAGAAGAAAGUGACGGUACCUUGUGAGAAAGUCACGGCUAACUACGUGCC